rnacentral:rRNA from 1 species
UACAGAGGGGGCAAGCGUUGUUCGGAAUUACUGGGCGUAAAGGGCGCGUAGGCGGCCUUCUAAGUCGAACGUGAAAUCCCCGGGCUCAACCCGGGAACUGCGUCCGAUACUGGAAGGCUUGAAUCCGGGAGAGGGAUGCGGAAUUCCAGGUGUAGCGGUGAAAUGCGCAGAUAUCAGGAGGAACACCGGUGGCGAAGGCGGGUCUCUGGGCCGACACUGACGCUGAGGAGCGAAAGCAUGGGGAGCGAACAGG